rfam:Alligator_sinensis, whole genome shotgun sequence
CCAAAGGCUCUUUUAAGAGCCACUCCAUUCCCACGGGAAAGGGCUGU